rnacentral:rRNA from 1 species
AACGAACGCUGGCGGCAUGCCUAACACAUGCAAGUCGAACGAGACCUUCGGGUCUAGUGGCGCACGGGUGCGUAACGCGUGGGAACCUGCCCUUAGGUUCGGAAUAACUCCCCGAAAGGGGUGCUAAUACCGGAUAAUGUCUUCGGACCAAAGAUUUAUCGCCUUUGGAUGGGCCCGCGUUGGAUUAGCUAGUUGGUAGGGUAAAAGCCUACCAAGGCGACGAUCCAUAGCUGGUCUGAGAGGAUGAUCAGCCACACUGGGACUGAGACACGGCCCAGACUCCUACGGGAGGCAGCAGUGGGGAAUAUUGGACAAUGGGCGAAAGCCUGAUCCAGCAAUGCCGCGUGAGUGAUGAAGGCCUUAGGGUUGUAAAGCUCUUUUACCCGGGAUGAUAAUGACAGUACCGGGAGAAUAAGCUCCGGCUAACGCCGUG